CUUGGUUCCUCGGUGAAGGCAGUCCACACUGGGUAUUGUACUGCCAAACCUGGCCAGUAUGCCAAAUGUGACCUGAAUGAAUGUUCCAGCAAUGAUACUCAGAUUUGUGGAAAUGAUGGAAAGAAAUAUGCAUGUAAGGGAUUUCUUGACUACAUGAACUGCCUUCAUAACCGUACUGUGCUGCCAUGGCAAUGUUGCUCACGAGUUUCAUGUGGUUAUUACUCCAGAGCUGUGUGUGGGAAUGAUGGGAAAAACUAUAACUGUGAGAAUGACAUUAAAUACUGGAACUGCAGAAAUGGAACAAACAUCACUGCUUUGCAUUAUGGCAGCUGUGUGGCACCCCCAGCAACUUAUGCCAAG